rnacentral:tRNA from 1 species
AAGAAUUUAGUUAAACUUUAUAUAACAUUAGUUUGUCAAACUAAAAUUAUUUACAUUAAAAUAAUUCUUA